rnacentral:rRNA from 1 species
AACGCGAAGAACCUUACCUGGUCUUGACAUCCACGGAAGUUUUCAGAGAUGAGAAUGUGCCUUCGGGAACCGUGAGACAGGUGCUGCAUGGCUGUCGUCAGCUCGUGUUGUGAAAUGUUGGGUUAAGUCCCGCAACGAGCGCAACCCUUAUCCUUUGUUGCCAGCGGUCCGGCCGGGAACUCAAAGGAGACUGCCAGUGAUAAACUGGAGGAAGGUGGGGAUGACGUCAAGUCAUCAUGGCCCUUACGACCAGGGCUACACACGUGCUACAAUGGCGCAUACAAAGAGAAGCGACCUCGCGAGAGCAAGCGGACCUCAUAAAGUGCGUCGUAGCCCGGAUUGGAGUCUGCAACUCGACUCCAUGAAGUCGGAAUCGCUAGUAAUCGUGGAUCAGAAUGCCACGGUGAAUACGUUCCCGGGCCUUGUACACACCG